rnacentral:rRNA from 2 species
UUAAAUUGAAGAGUUUGAUCAUGGCUCAGAUUGAACGCUGGCGGCAGGCCUAACACAUGCAAGUCGAACGGUAACAGGAAGCAGCUUGCUGCUUUGCUGACGAGUGGCGGACGGGUGAGUAAUGUCUGGGAAACUGCCUGAUGGAGGGGGAUAACUACUGGAAACGGUGGCUAAUACCGCAUAACGUCGCAAGACCAAAGAGGGGGACCUUCGGGCCUCUUGCCAUCAGAUGUGCCCAGAUGGGAUUAGCUUGUUGGUGAGGUAACGGCUCACCAAGGCGACGAUCCCUAGCUGGUCUGAGAGGAUGACCAGCCACACUGGAACUGAGACACGGUCCAGACUCCUACGGGAGGCAGCAGUGGGGAAUAUUGCACAAUGGGCGCAAGCCUGAUGCAGCCAUGCCGCGUGUAUGAAGAAGGCCUUCGGGUUGUAAAGUACUUUCAGCGGGGAGGAAGGUGUUGUGGUUAAUAACCGCAGCAAUUGACGUUACCCGCAGAAGAAGCACCGGCUAACUCCGUGCCAGCAGCCGCGGUAAUACGGAGGGUGCAAGCGUUAAUCGGAAUUACUGGGCGUAAAGCGCACGCAGGCGGUCUGUCAAGUCGGAUGUGAAAUCCCCGGGCUCAACCUGGGAACUGCAUUCGAAACUGGCAGGCUUGAGUCUUGUAGAGGGGGGUAGAAUUCCAGGUGUAGCGGUGAAAUGCGUAGAGAUCUGGAGGAAUACCGGUGGCGAAGGCGGCCCCCUGGACAAAGACUGACGCUCAGGUGCGAAAGCGUGGGGAGCAAACAGGAUUAGAUACCCUGGUAGUCCACGCCGUAAACGAUGUCUACUUGGAGGUUGUGCCCUUGAGGCGUGGCUUCCGGAGCUAACGCGUUAAGUAGACCGCCUGGGGAGUACGGCCGCAAGGUUAAAACUCAAAUGAAUUGACGGGGGCCCGCACAAGCGGUGGAGCAUGUGGUUUAAUUCGAUGCAACGCGAAGAACCUUACCUGGUCUUGACAUCCACGGAAGAAUUCAGAGAUGGAUUUGUGCCUUCGGGAACCGUGAGACAGGUGCUGCAUGGCUGUCGUCAGCUCGUGUUGUGAAAUGUUGGGUUAAGUCCCGCAACGAGCGCAACCCUUAUCCUUUGUUGCCAGCGAUUCGGUCGGGAACUCAAAGGAGACUGCCAGUGAUAAACUGGAGGAAGGUGGGGAUGACGUCAAGUCAUCAUGGCCCUUACGACCAGGGCUACACACGUGCUACAAUGGCGCAUACAAAGAGAAGCGACCUCGCGAGAGCAAGCGGACCUCAUAAAGUGCGUCGUAGUCCGGAUUGGAGUCUGCAACUCGACUCCAUGAAGUCGGAAUCGCUAGUAAUCGUGGAUCAGAAUGCCACGGUGAAUACGUUCCCGGGCCUUGUACACACCGCCCGUCACACCAUGGGAGUGGGUUGCAAAAGAAGUAGGUAGCUUAACCUUCGGGAGGGCGCUUACCACUUUGUGAUUCAUGACUGGGGUGAAGUCGUAACAAGGUAACCGUAGGGGAACCUGCGGUUGGAUCACCUCCUUACCUUAAAGAA